UUUUCUUUUAAGAAUGAGACAGGGAGUUGAGUGGGUGACAAGUUAUUUUCUUUCUAAUGCUUAUGGGCUGUGACUAGAGCCUGCAAUGGAUGAGGACGGAGAGGACCAAAUUAGCUCAGAUUCUAUAUAGUUUACAGAACAGGCUGCUUUUAUUUGUUUUUAGAUAUGAGCCAAAAAAAUUAGAGGGAGGGGCAAAAAUAUCAAUGAAAAUAAUCCAUAGUUCUGAAGUGGAGAGAGUUUCUCAAUGUUUCCGAGUCAAAAUUACACUACAGCCCAGACAGCUUUCAAUUCACAAUCUCUUCGUUGAAUGACAGGAGAGAAGGAUAGGAGGAUAGGAGGAGAGAGCUGCUCAAAGGCUGCAGCUAUGGAACUCUGGCAACUUUGGGCCCUUGUUGGCAACAAUGGACUAGAGCUGAAAGCAAAUGCCCCCUCGAUGAAGAAACCAGCUCAUCCACAAACCACAGCGCAGCACGUCAGGAGUGCAAGAGAGGAAGUUAGGCUCACCAAGUUGCGAGGUCCUUAACAGCUGACAGGGCGAACCCUGUGAUCCUUCUCAAAUAUAUGUUAUGUUAACAUUUGCACUCGCAGCUAGAAGCAUCUUACUGACAAGGCACGAGAAGAUCUGCAAUUUCCCUCUUCCUCUCUGUGAGGCAGGGAGAGAGCAGGAUCCAAGUGAGGUGCCCACCAAAGAUGAGGCUUUGGUGCAAUGAAAGAUGCCAUUUCCCAGGCUAUGGAGAAGUUUCCAGGUUAAAGGAUGGAAACAGCAUUCUGCCUUCGGGAAGAAAGGGCAGGCAAAACCCCAGAAGGGUUUUUCUCAAAGCCUGGCCAAGCGAGCUGAGAUUUGCGGCAGGGCUAGACAGAAGAAAUCUGCUCCUUCAAGUUCCAG
rnacentral:lncRNA from 1 species